CCUACGGGGGGCAGCAGUGAGGAAUAUUGGUCAAUGGCCGGAAGGCUGAACCAGCCAAGCCGCGUGAAGGACGAAGGUGCCAAGCAUUGUAAACUUCUUUUGUCAAGGGACAAAAUCAGGCUCGAGAGCCUGACCGAGGGUACUUGAAGAAAAAGCAUCGGCUAACUCCGUGCCAGCAGCCGCGGUAAUACGGAGGAUGCGAGCGUUAUCCGGAUUUAUUGGGUUUAAAGGGUGCGUAGGCGGACUGUUAAGUCAGCGGUAAAAGCCCGGGGCUCAACCCCGGCGAGCCGUUGAAACUGGCUGUCUUGAGAUGUCGAGAGGUAUGCGGAAUGCGGAGUGUAGCGGUGAAAUGCUUAGAGAUCAUACAGAACACCGAUUGCGAAGGCAGCUUACCAAUCUAUAUCUGACGUUGAGGCACGAAAGCGUGGGGAGCGAACAGGAUUAGAUACCCUGGUAGUC
rnacentral:rRNA from 1 species